GAUGAACGCUGGCGGCGUGCCUAAUACAUGCAAGUCGAGCGAACAGACGAGGAGCUUGCUCCUCUGACGUUAGCGGCGGACGUGUGAGUAACACGUGGAUAACCUACCUAUAAGACUGGGAUAACUUCGGGAAACCGGAGCUAAUACCGGAUAACAUGUUGAACCGCAUGGUUUAACAGUGAAAGACGGUCUUGCUGUCACUUAUAGAUGGAUCCGCGCCGCAUUAGCUAGUUGGUAAGGUAACGGCUUACCAAGGCAACGAUGCGUAGCCGACCUGAGAGGGUGAUCGGCCACACUGGAACUGAGACACGGUCCAGACUCCUACGGGAGGCAGCAGUAGGGAAUCUUUCGCAAUGGGCGAAAGCCUGACGGAGCAACGCCGCGUGAGUGAAGAAGGUCUUCGGAUCGUAAAACUCUGUUAUUAGGGAAGAACAAAUGUGUAAGUAACUAUGCACGUCUUGACGGUACCUAAUCAGAAAGCCACGGCUAACUACGUG
rnacentral:rRNA from 1 species